CAACCUGCUCUAGGUGGACCUGCUUUGGCAGGGGGGUUGGACUAGAUGAUCUCCGAAGGUCCCUUCCAACCUCAUAUCAUUCUGUGAUUCUGUGAAUACAACUUUUAUAUGGAACUGGUUCUCUUGGUAAUUUAUGCUGUAACUGGCCUCCGUGGACAUUUUUUCUCUUGGACAACUUCAAUUUCAGUCUGUUUUUCUUAUUUUUGAACUACUUCUAUAGUAGGUUUUGGGGACGUAUUUUCAUUUGGGGAAUUUUGAAAGGUUAGGCUAUUCUAAAUGUAUUAACUGUAGUAAGGUGUGCUGAGGUUUGUUUUUUGUUUUGGUUUCCUAUGCUAAUCUAGGGAAAAUGUUCUGUCUGAUAUUUCAGCAACUAAGUGUGGGGUGAUUAUUUUGGUAACUCUUUCCUGUGAUAGAAGAUUUCGUUUCAGCACUCUUUGAUGUGAAGGAUUUCACCAUCAGAUUUCAAAAGAUGGCAAAGCAGUCUACAGUGAAUGUUUCUGAAUUCAUAAUUUGCAAGCAGUCCACAUUUUUCUUCAGAGCAUGAAACCGAAUGAGUGGUAAGGAAUAUAUAUGUUCUCUUGAAGCUUGAUUAUAAGAUGGACACAGAAAAUCUUGUAGUGGUUCUUUUCAAUGUUGCCAGAAGAAGCAAACCCAGAACUGUGAGGUGGAAAUAUUCAUUCUACUUAUACAAUAUCUGGUACUUAAACUGGAAAAUUAAGUUCCUAAAUACCUGAGGCAAUCUCAUUUUCAUGUGUUUCAAAUGUAUCCAGAAAUACUAGUGAAAUAAUUUGACAGAAUUUUUACAGUUCACCUUCUGAGAGCAGUUUAUUACAGUGCAUAUAGGAACUUUGUUUAAAAGUCUUUUUUCAAUUUCCAAAGUCUUUCUAAAGAAUAUGCUCUCGAAGUAUUUAUCUUUUUCCUUGUUCAAAGUGUUUCUAACAUUAGAAAGCAAAUCUUUAUUAUUUGGUAUGGAAGAAGUCUGAGGAGGAACUAUACUUGACUGUCUUUGCUGAAAUUAUUCAGUGGGAUGGGAUACAGCCUUAUUCAUAAUGGAGUACUUUCAGCUGGACAAUUUGUCAACAUUGAGGGUAAAAAUAACAAGCAAGUUAAUGAAACCCUUUGCCUUUGAAACUAGAGGCACUUACCCAACGUUGGUAUUGUGGAAUACGUGCAAUAUAAUCAGCUUUAAGACUCAGUGUGGGGAGGAGUGGGUGAAGCAGAAGUUUCCUGUCAUGGGAUUGUUAGUUGAAAGGAAAGCAGCAUCUGGUAAUGAUUUUGCAUAUUGGGUCACUCAUGCUGUGACUUUCCCAUGACUUCUGCUUUUGGAAUGGAUUCUGUUAUUAGGAUUGUUUUUAUAGUUAUCAUCUCACAAUCAUAGGCUUGAUCUUGAAACCUGGGUAAGAACAUACAGAUAAAGUCAGAGAACCCCUUCGGUGGUAGACCUUCAUGGGAUAUUGGGUCAUUUUGGUAGGGCUGCUUUACUGAAUGAUAAUUGUGCAGCCCCAUUAGCACUUGAUUGUACUUUGUACUGAGGUACUUGGCAUAUUUAUAAAUGUUAUGCAUGGCUGGUUGACAUUGGGACUUUUAUUUCAAAGGGAAAAAAAAAUCUGAAGAUGCAUGACGGUAGGAUUAUUUCUCACUUGACUUGGAAUUCAGUGUCUUUUGGGCAGAGGGAAACAGAGGAGACCUGCAGGGGAGGAGUUGCAGUAGAUGGCUAUGUUCUAUUCCUCUUGUCAGUACAAGUGGUUUUUUGAAUGCAUGUCAAUGAUGAUUAAGAUGAAAUUCAUAAGAACACUAGAAGCUGGUCAUGGAGCAUUAUAUGCAAACAAAGAAAUUUAGGUAAGUCCUGGGGUAUAUAUGCCUUUCUUAGGAACUGCUGACUUUAAUGAUCUACUUCUGCUCAGCACUGGUGAGGCCACACCUGGAACACUGUCCAUUUCUGGGCUCCCCAGUACAAGAGAGACAUGGGCACACCAGAGAGCCCAGUGAAGGGCCACAAAGAUGACGAAGGGACUGGAGCACCUCUCCUGUGAGAAAAGGCUGGGAGAGCUGGGACUGUUCAGCCUGGAGAAGAGAAGGGUCAGGGGCAUCUUAUCCAUGUAUACACAUGCCUGGAGGGAGGGUGCAAAGAGGACAGAACUGGGCUCUUUUCAGUGGUGCCCAGUGGUGACCAGAGGCAAUGGGCACAAACUGAAACACAAGAGUUUUCCUCUGAACAUCAGGAAACACUUUUUUACUGUGAGGGUGACUGAGCACUGGCACAGGUUGCCCAGAGAGGUUGUGGAGUCUCCAUCCUUGGAGAUAUUUAAAAGCCGUCUGGACACUGUCCUGGGCAACCUACUGUAGGUGGCCCUGCCUGAGCAGGGGGGGUUGGAGAAGAUGCCCUCCAGAACUCCCAACCUCAACCCUUUUGUGAUUCUAUCUCUUUUGGACAGUAUUGCAAAACAUUUAAGAAGGUAACUUGGCCACUUUGUGUUCCAGGUUUUUUUUGUUGUGUGUUUUUGUUUUGUUUUUUCCAGAUGUUGUGUCAAGGCUCCAUUAAAAGUAUAAUGGCAGCAAACUUCAAGCCAUGAGGCAGCUGAUAAACACUCACCUGAAAAUAAUCAGUUUCAGUGCUGAGCAAUUGAACUGAAGCUAGAGGAGUACCAGACAUGGCAUAAUCCUCCUGACAACCACAGUUUGUUAGAGUUGCAGGAAGAAGAUUAAAAAUCAUCAGAGCAAACACCAUGAGUUGGAAGUAAAAAGGCUUCAGACAUCAUCAUCAAAGGAUCCUUGCCUCAGCACAGGCUUGGCACUGGGGAAAUCCCAAAGUAAAGCUUGUGGAGGGGACUGUUUCAGUAGAAGAGCGCUGCUGUUGACUGACAGAGUUGAGUCACUCUUCCCAGAAGGGUUCAAAAAGAGGUCAGACAUAUUAACUGCAGAGAAAACAAGCUAAAUCUGUAAUUGAAUUACUUUAAUCUAUACCAUCCCCUUCUAGCAUAUUUUAUUUUCACAAUCAACCAACCAAGCAGCUGGCUUUUCAGCAUUUGCUUCCCCCCCACCCCUUUGUUUACACUCCUUUCUAGCUAUUAUAAUUCGUGUCAGUGUUAAAAGGCUUUGACUGAGGUUCUGCCCUGUUUUAUUACUGUACCUCCCUGCAAGAGGAGGAUCUUUGCCCUGAAAGUUUGCAAUUGAUAAGGGCAGGCCGUACAGGGCUGAGAGAAAGGGAGGACUCUCUCUUUUGAUUAAGGAAGAGCUCACCUACAGCAAAAUCAAGUGAUUCAUCCAAGCUUACUUGGAAAACAAAGCUGCCCAGCCUUUCCAGCCCUUACCUAGGGCUCUGAACACAAGGUGCUCUUGCUGUACUUGCCUGCUUUCCUCUUGUUGGAAAUCGGAUGGUGGUGGUGUAAACUUUGCUCAGGGAGCAUUCAG